UACGUAGGGUGCAAGCGUUGUCCGGAAUUAUUGGGCGUAAAGAGCUCGUAGGCGGUCUGUCGCGUCGGAUGUGAAAACCCAGGGCUCAACCCUGGGCCUGCAUUCGAUACGGGCAGACUAGAGUUCGGUAGGGGAGACUGGAAUUCCUGGUGUAGCGGUGAAAUGCGCAGAUAUCAGGAGGAACACCAGCGGCGAAGGCGGAUCUCUGGGCCUUACCUGACGCUGAGGCGCGAAAGCUAGGGGAGCGAACAGG
rnacentral:rRNA from 1 species